GUGCUAAUUCUGGCAGCAUAGGUACUAACAUUGGAAUGAGACAGGGAAGAUCACGCAGCUGCUGUGCAAGAAUAUCACACAAACUCAAAGUAUUCUGCAUUUUU
rnacentral:snRNA from 1 species